rnacentral:rRNA from 1 species
GGGUGAGUAACACGUGGAUAACCUACCUAUAAGACUGGGAUAACUUCGGGAAACCGGAGCUAAUACCGGAUAAUAUAUUGAACCGCAUGGUUCAAUAGUGAAAGACGGUUUUGCUGUCACUUAUAGAUGGAUCCGCGCCGCAUUAGCUAGUUGGUAAGGUAACGGCUUACCAAGGCAACGAUGCGUAGCCGACCUGAGAGGGUGAUCGGCCACACUGGGACUGAGACAUGGUCCAG